rnacentral:rRNA from 1 species
CUCGUAGGCGGCCAACUAAGUCAGACGUGAAAUCCCUAGGCUCAACCUAGGAACUGCGUCUGAUACUGGAUGGCUUGAAUCCGGGAGAGGGAUGCAGAAUUCCAGGUGUAGCGGUGAAAUGCGUAGAUAUCUGGAGGAAUACCGGUGGCGAAGGCGGCAUCCUGGACCGGCAUUGACGCUGAGGAGCCGAAAAGCCAGGGGAGCAACG